CCUACGGGUGGCAGCAGUGGGGAAUAUUGGGCAAUGGACGCAAGUCUGACCCAGCAACGCCGCGUGAAGGAUGAAGGCCUUCGGGUUGUAAACUUCUUUUCUCAGGGACGAAGAACGUGACGGUACCUUAGGAAUAAGCCACGGCUAACUACGUGCCCGCAGCCGCGGUAAUACGUAGGAGGCAAGCGUUAUCCGGAUUGACUGGGUGGAAAGGGUGCGUAGGUGGGACGGCAAGUUAGGAGUGAAACUCACAGGCUCAACCUUGGGCCUGCUACUAAAACUGUUGGUCUUGAGUGCAGGAGGGGCAGACGGAAUUCCUAGUGUAGCGGUGGAAUGCGUAGAUAUUAGGAGGAACACCAGUGGCGAAGGCGGGUUGCUAGACAGUAACUGACACUGAGGCACGAAAGCGUGGGGAGCAAACAGGAUUAGAUACCCGGGUAGUC
rnacentral:rRNA from 1 species